rnacentral:lncRNA from 1 species
GCAUAUGGUUCUUAUUAAACUAUUAAAAGGAAAGCGUUUACAAGCAAAUCCCACGAAACCUAGGACAUUUAUUCUACUAAAGUUACUACAAGAACAUUUCGGUUUAUUCACAUGCUUAACUCUUUGCAAGUACAAAAUGGUCCAUCAGUUGUAAAAGGAAGGCACUAGUACUAUAUCCCUCCCUGUGUCUGUUUGCCCGUAAAUGUGAAGCAGCAUCAGCAGGCAACCUAGCCACGGCUUGAAAGCCUACAAAGUUUUAGCAUAUCAAAUGAGCUAAGAUCAAAAGAGCAGAUACAUAGUUGUAGAUAGAGCCAACCAUGUUUCAAUACUUUAUUAACAUAUAGACAAACCAUAAGCAAAACUCAGCAAGAAAGGUCUAAAAAACAUUGUGGCGCAGUAUUAAUUUGGCUGGUAUCAGCAGAUCAGAUGUGGUCACAUUUGUUCUAUGUCAAAUACUCAAGUUUAAGGCUGAACUGUAUCGUAUUACAACAUAUUGGAGAUCUUUCUUUAUUCAGAUAACAAAUUCUCAAAUUAGUCAACCUAGUGUAGCUAGAAUGCAGGUUUCUUGAAUGUACUUUCAUAUAUCAAUAUGAUCAAUAUAUUGUUUUAAGUAAUAUAAAAUGACUAAACGUGGAAUCAAUCAAUCAACUGUGCCUCAAUCCCAUAUUAGUUGUGCGGGUGGGUAAGCUAUAUGAAUCCUCUAUUAUCCAUCCUGCUCUAUUCUGAUUCAUUUCAUAAUGAUGUUGAAUAAAUUGUCUUUUACUAAAAGAUGUUACAUCAAGAUAAUCAUUUUGAUUUAUUACCACAAUUGAAAAAGUUAUCCAGUUUAGAGGGCAGUGAUCAACUAAAUUGUGACAGACACAGAGAAAGAAGGUCAACUAAUAUGGAUAAAGGGAUCAACAAUCUUACAAUAGUGUGAAGUAACAAAACUACCAAAAAGAAAAUGCCAUAUUAGCAAUUUCAUGGUUUGCCCUUUCUAGCUUGAUACACAGGUUGUGUUAGAAAGUAAUUCUAGAAGGUAGGAUUUGUUGCUGGAGUAUAAAACCAAGAGAGAAAGGCCAACCAUCAGACUCAACUUGGUAAGGCUUGUAGUGGCUGUAGGCUUAGCAACUUUUCCUAAUAGACUACUUUAAUGAUAUACUAAAUAAGCCCAAGAUAUUAAGUCACGAGGUACACAGUACCUGAAAUGAGUUAAGUAUGAAUGUACCUCAAAUAGUAGACUUCUACUUGUACGAAGAAACAGCUCAGCAAGAUGAAUUAUAGGCCAUAUCUUUCAAUAGAGACACAACAUCAGCUGAUGAACCAAGAAGGUAUCUGGCAAGAGAGCAGUUUCUACCAACUGCACAAGAGAAGUAGUUAUCAGCCUUGAGGUCAAGAACUGAUGACCCU